UUCCCCAUUUCUCUCUCUCUCACGUUCCCCAUUUCUCUCUCUCACGUUCCCCACCACUUUCCCACGACUGUUUUUAAGUUGCUCCGUUUUGCAGUUGCCCACCAAUUCCCCAUCCUCAACCAUCCCAUUCGAAUCAAGAACUCCUCCCUCGACCUUUCCAUCUUCAACAAUCUUCUCCAUGUCCUUCUUGCUGUGUCGAUGGCGGUGAUGGCGAUGGCAGUGAUGAUGGUCUGAGCAUGUAAAGUGCCAAGUAGGCGAAACUAUAGGGUAUUCAAGUGCAAUUGAGCCUUUUUUUGGCCCAAAAACAAGUGCUUAGAGUUACAUAGCGUGGUCGUUCCCCAACCUUCGUCUCCCCGCCAAGAGCUCUCCAAUCAAGUUGUUGUGGUGGAUAUAAUGGAUUGGGAUCCUCUACUCAUCAAUAGUAACUCUUAACAUUUGCUAAUGCAUCUCCACCUUUCAUUUUGUGGAUAAGCACAAAAUGAAAGAUGGUCCUACAAAACGAAAGGUGAAGAUGCAUUAACAAAUAUUAGGAGACACUAUUGAUGAGUAGAUGAUCCCAAUCCAAAUAUAAUAGAUGUCAAGUUCAAGUCACGGUGUUGAUGAAGUGGCGGAGCUUUCCCCUUCACAAGUGGAGGACUUACAUUGUAGAUAUGACAGAAAAAAAUGCAACAUAAUGUUUUCAAAGUACUGAUCAAGGAUCUCAAUGUCCAAGAGGCGGUCAUCAUUGCAAUUUUUGACGCCUACAAUCGCAUAAGGUUCGAUGAGACUACAGAUGGACAUGUGAGAAUGUAAAUGGAGGAGAUAUGGACAAUAGAAGAGCUAGAUUUCAAUAUACAGAGCCCGAGCAUGGAAUGUUUCUUGCCUGCUGCUGGCAUCCAAGAAGAAAAAAAAUGCAAUGAUGUGGCAAUGAAGAAUGAGAUUUCGCCUAAGAGAAUACAUAAUGCUCUGAUAAAGCUCGGUUCUUCAAAAGGUCGCUGCAAUUGAUAUCGUAGACUCGGUCUGUUUGGAGGAAGAAGAUGAGAUGCAAUGAACAAUGACUUAUUUGGUUUUGUAAAUAUAGAAUCCAUGUAAAAAUUGGAACUGGCAUGACAGAAUUAGUGUCUUAGGAUUGGAAUUUGAUCAACUGAAGCUAAUACUGCUCUAUUCUAAAUA